rnacentral:rRNA from 1 species
AGGACGAACGCUGGCGGCGUGCUUAACACAUGCAAGUCGAACGGUGACGAAUGGAGCUUGCUCUGUUCUGAUCAGUGGCGAACGGGUGAGUAACACGUGAGUAACCUGCCCCUGACUCUGGAAUAACUUCGGGAAACCGAAGCUAAUACCGGAUAUGACACAGAGCCGCAUGGUUUCUGUGUGGAAAGUUUUCGGUUGGGGAUGGACUCGCGGCCUAUCAGCUUGUUGGUGAGGUAAUGGCUCACCAAGGCGACGACGGGUAGCCGGCCUGAGAGGGCGACCGGCCACACUGGGACUGAGACACGGCCCAGACUCCUACGGGAGGCAGCAGUGGGGAAUAUUGCACAAUGGGCGAAAGCCUGAUGCAGCGACGCCGCGUGAGGGAUGAAGGCCUUCGGGUUGUAAACCUCUUUCAGUAGGGAAGAAGCGCAAGUGACGGUACCUACAGAAGAAGCACCGGCUAACUACGUG